rnacentral:sRNA from 1 species
UCACGGGAGAGGAGGUGGUCCAGAUAAUGAAGUCUUCUUGGACGCGUGAGGUGGCUGUCCGCUAGUCGCCCUGACCUCGGACGGAUUGCACCGGACCGACGCCGCACGGCGGCAGCGAGUUCUGGCAGUCACCGCAGCCCGUGGGUGUCGUGCCCGUCCAGCACGACGCACCGGUCACGACCGGUAGCCCACGGGCUGUCCCAU